rnacentral:rRNA from 1 species
AAGCGGAGGAAAAGAAACUAACAAGGAUUCCCCUAGUAACGGCGAGUGAAGCGGGAAGAGCUCAAAUUUGAAAUCUAGUAGCCUUCGGCUGCUCGAGUUGUAAUCUAUAGAAGUGUUUUCCGUGCUGGCUCAUGUACAAGUCCCUUGGAACAGGGCGUCAUAGAGGGUGAGAAUCCCGUACUUGACAUGAAUCACCAGUGCUCUGUGAUACACUUUCAAAGAGUCGAGUUGUUUGGGAAUGCAGCUCAAAAUGGGUGGUAAAUUCCAUCUAAAGCUAAAUAUUGGCGAGAGACCGAUAGCGAACAAGUACCGUGAGGGAAAGAUGAAAAGCACUUUGGAAAGAGAGUUAAACAGUAUGUGAAAUUGUUAAAA